UAGAUUUGGGGGUAAUUUAUUAUGCAGCAAUAGAUAGCCAUUGGGAUACAAUAGUGAGUAAGAGAUGUCUGUUCUCUCCCAGGAGAAGACAAGGGUAUUGAACAAGCAGUCCGAGCUGUGAUGAGUGUUUGAAGAAUCAUUAGAGAUGCUCUGACUCACCAGUUUCCUUUUCUCUACAUCCCAGUCAUCCAAAAAAAUCUGUUGUCAUUGUGCCCAAGAAUUCACAUGCAAUCAAGUUGAUGAGAUGGAAUAAUGCUGAUGAGCACGUAUGCAGCCUUGUGGGGUCACGGACAGGACACUCAGCACUCAACAGAUCUUUAUGCUCUGCCGGGCCUGCUCUGUGAUCAGCCCAUUCUCACAUUGAGACACUGAAGAACUGUGAGAGCUCUCAGUCCAAUUCCCUUGCUUCGCAGAAGAAAAUGAGGCUCAGUGCAAGGAACUGACUUACUUGCAUGAGGUCCCCCAUUUGGUAAGUGACUGAUUCUGAAUUCAAAGCCAUACUUCAUGACUCCCAAACCAGUGCUCCUUUCAUUGUACCACUCUUCUCUCAGGUGAGAAUGAAGACGCAUUAAAUUCAAACACACACACACACACCACUCAUAGUAUAAAAUCUAAGCUGUGUCUGACUGGUAACUACCAAAUGGGGACCAGCUGAGUUCUAGACAGAGGCUCCUGUGUGCAUGGGUGCUUGCGUGUGUGUUUUAUGAGGCAAAUAGGGGACACAUUGCUGAGAACACUCUAGGGUCUUGUCUCUGUGACUCGAGCAGUAAUAACACUCAAAGCUUAGGCUACACGUUGGACAUUGUUACAAUUCAUGGAUUUCACUUUUCUAGAGAUACUCUUCAUAAAGGCUCAGUUCCUUGAUAUCAACGGGAUGUGGCAGUUUCUUUAUUUAAAGUGUGCUCUAGGACACAGAACUUGGGUCUUGGAGUCUGGAAUCCUGGUUUCUACAGUGACCUUGGUUGAGCUAAUUACUUAACCUCUCCGAGUCUGUCUUCUCCCCUUCAAUCUGGGAGAAUAAUGCCUGCCAUAUUUUUGUCAUAAGGUUUUUCUGAGGAUCAAAUAUAUAUGAAAGUGCUUUAUAAACUGUAAAGUACAUGUAAGUGCAGGAAUUACUACUUCCAAUAUUACUAUAUAAGAAAGAUCACGCAGAAUCACUACUUAGGCAUGCUGGCUCAGUAAAAAUGUGAAGUAGGCUAGGUGAUCUUUGGCCCUCCAUCACCUACCUCCACCCAUUCCUGAUAACCCAGAUCCUCCAGAUCCUCCAGCUCCUCAACUAGAAGAACUGCCUGGCAGGUGAUGGAGGAGGUAUUGCUGGACACCCCCCCGCCACCACCACCAAAUGACAGCCCGAGUCAGGCUGCCUGUCCAUCU